GAUGAACGCUGGCGGCGUGCUUAACACAUGCAAGUCGAACGGAAAGGCUCCUGCUUGCAGGGGUACUCGAGUGGCGAACGGGUGAGUAACACGUGGGUGAUCUGCCCUGCACUUCGGGAUAAGCCUGGGAAACUGGGUCUAAUACCGGAUAGGACGAUGGUUUGGAUGCCAUUGUGGAAAGUUUGUCGGUGUGGGUUGAGCUCGCGGCCUAUCAGCUUGUUGGUGGGGUAAUGGCCUACCAAGGCGCCGACGGGUAGCCGGCCUGAGAGGGUGUACGGCCACAUUGGGACUGAGAUGCGGCCCAGACUCCUACGGGAGGCAGCAGUGGGGAAGAUUGCAGAAUGGGCGCAAGCCGGAUGCAGCAACGCCGCGUGGGGGAUGACGGCCUUCGGGUUGUAAACUCCUUUCGCUAGGGACGAAGCGUUUUGUGACGGUACCUGGAGAAGAAGCACCGGCUAACUACGUG
rnacentral:rRNA from 1 species